GCCCCCAUCGUCUAGAGGCCUAGGACACUGGCCUUUCACGCCGGCAACAGCGGUUCGAAUCCGCUUGGGGGUACCA
rnacentral:tRNA from 2 species